rnacentral:rRNA from 1 species
AGUGAACGCUGGCGGUAGGCCUAACACAUGCAAGUCGAACGGCAGCACAGUAAGAGCUUGCUCGUACGGGUGGCGAGUGGCGGACGGGGGAGGAAUACAUCGGAAUCUACUUUUUCGUGGGGGAUAACGUAGGGAAACUUACGCUAAUACCGCAUACGACCUACGGUUGAAAGCAGGGGAUCUUCGGACCUUGCGCGAUUGAAUGAGCGGAUGUCGGAUUAGCUAGUUGGCGGGGUAAAGGCCCACCAAGGCGACGAUCCGUAGCUGGUCUGAGAGGAUGGUCAGCCACACUGGAACUGAGACACGGUCCAGACUCCUACGGGAGGCAGCAGUGGGGAAUAUUGGACAAUGGGCGCAAGCCUGAUCCAGCCAUACCGCGUGGGUGAAGAAGGCCUUCGGGUUGUAAAGCCCUUUUGUUGGGAAAGAAAAGCAGCAGGUUAAUACCCCGCUGUUCUGACGGUACCCAAAGAAUAAGCACCGGCUAACUUCGUG